UAUCAUUAACUGAAUCCAUAGGUUAAUGAGGCGAACCGGGGGAACUGAAACAUCUAAGUACCCCGAGGAAAAGAAAUCAACCGAGAUUCCCCCAGUAGCGGCGAGCGAACGGGGAGCAGCCCAGAGCCUGAAUCAGUGUGUGUGUUAGUGGAAGCGUCUGGAAAGGCGCGCGAUACAGGGUGACAGCCCCGUACACAAAAAUGCACAUACUGUGAGCUCGAUGAGUAGGGCGGGACACGUGGUAUCCUGUCUGAAUAUGGGGGGACCAUCCUCCAAGGCUAAAUACUCCUGACUGACCGAUAGUGAACCAGUACCGUGAGGGAAAGGCGAAAAGAACCCCGGCGAGGGGAGUGAAAAAGAACCUGAAACCGUGUACGUACAAGCAGUGGGAGCACGCUUAGGCGUGUGACUGCGUACCUUUUGUAUAAUGGGUCAGCGACUUAUAUUCUGUAGCAAGGUUAACCGAAUAGGGGAGCCGAAGGGAAACCGAGUCUUAACUGGGCGUUAAGUUGCAGGGUAUAGACCCGAAACCCGGUGAUCUAGCCAUGGGCAGGUUGAAGGUUGGGUAACACUAACUGGAGGACCGAACCGACUAAUGUUGAAAAAUUAGCGGAUGACUUGUGGCUGGGGGUGAAAGGCCAAUCAAACCGGGAGAUAGCUGGUUCUCCCCGAAAGCUAUUUAGGUAGCGCCUCGUGAACUCAUCUCCGGGGGUAGAGCACUGUUUCGGCAAGGGGGUCAUCCCGACUUACCAACCCGAUGCAAACUGCGAAUACCGGAGAAUGUUAUCACGGGAGACACACGGCGGGUGCUAACGUCCGUCGUGAAGAGGGAAACAACCCAGACCGCCAGCUAAGGUCCCAAAGUCAUGGUUAAGUGGGAAACGAUGUGGGAAGGCCCAGACAGCCAGGAUGUUGGCUUAGAAGCAGCCAUCAUUUAAAGAAAGCGUAAUAGCUCACUGGUCGAGUCGGCCUGCGCGGAAGAUGUAACGGGGCUAAACCAUGCACCGAAGCUGCGGCAGCGACACUAUGUGUUGUUGGGUAGGGGAGCGUUCUGUAAGCCUG
rnacentral:rRNA from 1 species